CGAAGGGACUGCGGAGGUCAUUAUCGAGUUUUGACUGGGUUGUAGCUGGCCUUCCGAGGCAUGUGCACGCCCUGCUCAUCCACUCUACACCUGUGCACUUACUGUGGGCAUUAGAUCGUGAAGCGGGCUCUUUUACCGGAGCCUGUGAAGCGUAUCUGUGCCUACGUUUAUCACAAACUCUAUAAAGUAUCAGAAUGUGUAUCACGAUGUAACGCAUCUAUAUACAACUUUCAGCAACGGAUCUCUUGGCUCUCGCAUCGAUGAAGAACGCAGCGAAAUGCGAUAAGUAAUGUGAAUUGCAGAAUUCAGUGAAUCAUCGAAUCUUUGAACGCACCUUGCGCUCCUUGGUAUUCCGAGGAGCAUGCCUGUUUGAGUGUCAUGAAAUCUUCAACCUACAAGCUUUUGCGGCCUGCAGGCUUGGACUUGGAGGCUUGUCGGCCUUUAUUUGGUCGGCUCCUCUUAAACGCAUUAGCUUGGUUCCUUGCGGAUCGGCUCUCGGUGUGAUAAUAUCUACGCCGCGACCGUGAAGCGUUUGGCGAGCUUCUAAACGUCUCUCUUGAGAGACAACUUUUAUGACCUCUGACCUCAAAUCAGGUAGGACUACCCGCUGAACUUAAGCAUACAAAAACGGGAAAGAAUCU
rnacentral:rRNA from 1 species